GAUGAACGCUGGCGGCGUGCCUAAUACAUGCAAGUCGAGCGAACAGACGAGGAGCUUGCUCCUCUGACGUUAGCGGCGGACGGGUGAGUAACACGUGGAUAACCUACCUAUAAGACUGGGAUAACUUCGGGAAACCGGAGCUAAUACCGGAUAAUAUAUUGAACCGCAUGGUUCAAUAGUGAAAGACGGUUUUGCUGUCACUUAUAGAUGGAUCCGCGCCGCAUUAGCUAGUUGGUAAGGUAACGGCUUACCAAGGCAACGAUGCGUAGCCGACCUGAGAGGGUGAACGGCCACAAUGGGACUGAGACAAGGUCCAGACUCCUAAGGGAGGCAGCAGUAGGGAAUCUUCCGGAAUUGGCGAAAGGCUGACGGAGCAAAGCCGCGGGGGUGAAGAAGGGCUUCGGAUCGUAAAACUCUGGUAUUAGGGAAGAAAAAAAGUGGAAGUAACUAUGCACGUCUUGACGGUACCUAAUCAGAAAGCCACGGCUAACUACGUG
rnacentral:rRNA from 1 species